GAACUCCGAUUGCGAAGGCAGCUCACUGGAGCGCAACUGACGCUGAAGCUCGAAAGUGCGGGUAUCGAACAGGAUUAGAUACCCUGGUAGUCCGCACGGUAAACGAUGGAUGCCCGCUGUUGGUCUGAAUAGGUCAGCGGCCAAGCGAAAGCAUUAAACAUCCCACCUGGGGAGUACGCCGGCAGCGGUGAAACUCAAAGGAAUUGACGGGGGCCCGCACAAGCGGAGGAACAUGUGGUUUAAUUCGAUGAUACGCGAGGAACCUUACCCGGGCUUGAAUUGCAGAGGAAGGAUUUGGAGACAAUGACGCCCUUCGGGGCCUCUGUGAAGGUGCUGCAUGGUUGUCGUCAGCUCGUGCCGUGAGGUGUCGGCUUAAGUGCCAUAACGAGCGCAACCCCUCUCCUUAGUUGCCAUCAGGUCAUGCUGGGCACUCUGGGGACACUGCCACCGUAAGGUGUGAGGAAGGUGGGGAUGACGUCAAAUCAGCACGGCCCUUACGUCCGGGGCUACACACGUGUUACAAUGGCAGGUACAGAGAGACGGUCCCUUGCAAAAGGGAUCAAAUCCUCAAAGCCUGUCUCAGUUCGGACUGGGGUGUGCAACCCGACCCCACGAAGCUGGAUUCGCUAGUAAUCGCGCAUCAGCCAUGGCGCGGUGAAUACGUUCCCGGGCCUUGCACACACCGCCCGUCAAG
rnacentral:rRNA from 1 species